UGGGGAAUAUUGGACAAUGGGCGCAAGCCUGAUCCAGCCAUGCCGCGUGAGUGAUGAAGGCCCUAGGGUUGUAAAGCUCUUUCACCGGUGAAGAUAAUGACGGUAACCGGAGAAGAAGCCCCGGCUAACUUCGUGCCAGCAGCCGCGGUAAUACGAAGGGGGCUAGCGUUGUUCGGAUUUACUGGGCGUAAAGCGCACGUAGGCGGACUUUUAAGUCAGGGGUGAAAUCCCGGGGCUCAACCCCGGAACUGCCUUUGAUACUGGAAGUCUUGAGUAUGGUAGAGGUGAGUGGAAUUCCGAGUGUAGAGGUGAAAUUCGUAGAUAUUCGGAGGAACACCAGUGGCGAAGGCGGCUCACUGGACCUUUACUGACGCUGAGGUGCGAAAGCGUGGGGAGCAAAUAGG
rnacentral:rRNA from 1 species